rnacentral:rRNA from 1 species
AUGAACGCUGGCGGCGUGCCUAAUACAUGCAAGUCGCGCGAACGGACGAGAAGCUUGCUUUUCUGAUGUUAGCGGCGGCCGGGUGAGUAACACGUGGAUAACCUACCUAUAAGACUGGGAUAACUUCGGGAAACCGGAGCUAAUACCGGAUAAUAUUUUGAACCGCAUGGUUCAAAAGUGAAAGACGGUCUUGCUGUCACUUAUAGAUGGAUCCGCGCUGCAUUAGCUAGUUGGUAAGGUAACGGCUUACCAAGGCAACGAUGCAUAGCCGACCUGAGAGGGUGAUAGGCCACACUGGAACUGGGACACGGUCCAGACUCCUACGGGAGGCAGCAGUAGGGAAUCUUCCGCAAUGGGCGAAAGCCUGACGGAGCAACGCCUCGUGAGUGAUGAAGGUCUUCGGAUCGUAAAACUCUGUUAUUAGGGAAGAACAUAUGUGGAAGUAACUGUGCACAUCUUGACGGUACCUAAUCAGAAAGCCACGGCUAACUACGUG